CAUGUUAUGCUUUAGAAAUUGAGAGUUUAGUAGGUUUUUAACUGCUGUCCUCAUUAGGCAAUGAUAAAUAUUUCCCUCAAAUAACUGAAUAUUUUUCUGUGUUUUAAAAAUAAUUGAAAUUUAUCUGCCAUGUCUUGUGUUCUAAUUCCUUACACAAGUGGCUAAGCUAGAAUGUAUUCAUAAAACAGAGGAAUGUGAGUUAUAUAUAUUAGAACAUGACAAGACCCUGUAUUUCACUUUAAUGAAUCUCAAAAUUAAUAGGUUUGUAGGAUAGAUUUUAUUAGUAGCUUAAAUGAUCUUAGUCAUAUGCAAUAAGUAUUUUUACUACCAGUAAGUCUAAAGUUUUUAAAGAAAAAAAUGCUUUUAUCCUAGUGUCUGCCACCGAACAGUCACUAAGUUGACAACUUUCACACUUGUUUUCUCACCUAAUAGUGCCUUCCCUGAAAGUAUGUGUUGGAUAGAAAUUCACUCUCUUAGAAAAAUGUAACUGUUUGCUUUUGCAUACUCUGUUCCUUUUAUGGCUUCUAUCUCAAGGUGUAAUCUUGUAUGGGAGACUGAAGGUUAUUGUUGUUACUGGAAGCAUGAUGUUUUAAGUUCCCUUUUAUGAAAUGUACUGUUAAGCAGUAGUAUUGUCCUUCAAAAAAUGAAAAUGCAUAUCUCUACAAAGGUGUGAUAGAAGAAUGAUUUGGAAGCUUACUCUUUGAGGAAAAUGUUUGGGAAAAUAUUGGGAUUCUUUUUACCCUGAAGCAGCAUGUGAAUGUAUUUGGUUAAAUUUAUCAGACAAUAGCUCUAUGAAAACUUUUGAUUUUCAAACAUUUUAAAUACUACUGUGUUUAUGAUUUAUUGAGAAUUAAAAUCCAUUUUGAGUGUA